UGCAAGUCGAACGGUGAUCUUGGGAGCUUGCUCCUAGGUGAUCAGUGGCGAACGGGUGAGUAACACGUGAGUAACCUGCCCUUCACUCUGGGAUAACUCCGGGAAACCGGGGCUAAUACUGGAUAUGACCUACUCGGGCAUCCGAUGUGGGUGGAAAGAUUUAUUGGUGGAGGAUGGACUCGCGGCCUAUCAGCUUGUUGGUGAGGUAAUGGCUCACCAAGGCGACGACGGGUAGCCGGCCUGAGAGGGCGAUCGGCCACACUGGGACUGAGACACGGCCCAGACUCCUACGGGAGGCAGCAGUGGGGAAUAUUGCACAAUGGGCGAAAGCCUGAUGGAGCGACGCCGCGUGGGGGAUGAAUGGCUUCGGCCCGUAAACCCCUGUCAUUUGCGAACAAACCUUACCGGUUAAUACCCUGUGAGCUGAUUGUAGCGGAAGAGGAAGGGACGGCUAACUCUGUGCCAGCAGCCGCGGUAAUACAGAGGUCCCAAGCGUUGUUCGGAUUCACUGGGCGUAAAGGGUGCGUAGGUGGUGAGGUAAGUCGGAUGUGAAAUCUCCGGGCUCAACCCGGAAAUGGCAUUGGAAACUACCUUGCUGGAGGAUUUGAGGGGGGAUUGGAAUACUUGGUGUAGCAGUGAAAUGCGUAGAUAUCAAGUGGAACACCAGUGGCGAAGGCGAAUCCCUGGAAAAUACCUGACACUGAGGCACGAAAGCUAGGGGAGCAAACAGGAUUAGAUACCCUGGUAGUCCUAGCCCUAAACGGUGCUUGCUUGCUGUAAGAGGAAUCGACCCCUCUUGUGGCGGAGCUAACGCGUUAAGCAAGCCGCCUGGGAAGUACGGUCGCAAGAUUAAAACUCAAAGAAAA
rnacentral:rRNA from 1 species